rnacentral:rRNA from 1 species
AACGAACGCUGGCGGCAGGCCUAACACAUGCAAGUCGAGCGGACCUUUCGGGGUCAGCGGCGGACGGGUGAGUAACGCGUGGGAAUAUGCCCUUCUCUACGGAAUAGUCCUGGGAAACUGGGGGUAAUACCGUAUACGCCCUUUGGGGGAAAGAUUUAUCGGGGAAGGAUUAGCCCGCGUUGGAUUAGGUAGUUGGUGGGGUAAUGGCCUACCAAGCCGACGAUCCAUAGCUGGUUUGAGAGGAUGAUAAGCCACACUGGGACGGAGAUACGGCCCAGAGUCCGAAGGGAGGCAGCAGGGGGGAAGAGUGUAGAAGGGGCGGAAGCCUGAUGCAGCAACGCCGAGGGAGGGAAGAAGGACUGCGGGGUGGAAACAGCUGUCGCCUGUGACGAAGAGUGAGUGACGGGAAUGGGUAAAGAAGCACCGGCUAACGACGUG